rnacentral:sRNA from 1 species
GGGCGGCCAUGGGGCAACCGGCGGCCAGGGCGUCAAGGGCCAGGUAGCGACGGCUGGCGGCGGCGCGGCGGCGGGGCCUGCGGGCUCGGUCCGGCAUGUAGACGACCCCGCAGGCGCCCGCGGCAGCGAACGGCAUCAGUGUUUUUCUGACCGAAGUUCUCAUUUCCUGACAAUGGAAAUGGAACAAGAAAAAAUGACCAUGAAUAAGGAAUUGAGUCCAGACGCGGCUGCUUACUGCUGCUCGGCCUGCCACGGCGACGAGACCUGGAGUUACAACCACCCCAUCCGGGGCCGGGCUAAGUCUCGCAGCCUGUCUGCCUCGCCCGCCCUGGGGAGCACCAAGGAGUUCAGGAGGACACGCUCUCUCCAUGGGCCGUGCCCGGUGACCACUUUUGGACCAAAGGCCUGUGUGCUGCAGAACCCCCAGACCAUCAUGUGAGUGCCGGGGGCCAUGGGAUGGGGGAGUCCUCGGGAUGUGUGUGGAGUUGUGGGAUCGCUGUGUUGAGGAGGAUUCUAGCACUUCACCUGAGAAGUACAUGUUUUAGGUCAUUUAAACAAAAAGCCACAUGGGCGUCUUCCCUGAACCCCCUGAGUGCAGGCAUCCGAGCGGGGGCUCCCCAGCUGUGGCUUUUCCAGUGGCUUUGAGAAAGUGGACGGCAGGC